CCUACGGGAGGCAGCAGUAGGGAAUCUUCCACAAUGGGCGAAAGCCUGAUGGAGCAACGCCGCGUGUGUGAUGAAGGCUUUCGGGUCGUAAAGCACUGUUGUAUGGGAAGAACAGCUAGAAUAGGAAAUGAUUUUAGUUUGACGGUACCAUACCAGAAAGGGACGGCUAAAUACGUGCCAGCAGCCGCGGUAAU
rnacentral:rRNA from 1 species